rnacentral:rRNA from 2 species
UGGGGAAUAUUGGACAAUGGGCGCAAGCCUGAUCCAGCCAUGCCGCGUGAGUGAUGAAGGCCCUAGGGUUGUAAAGCUCUUUUAGCGGGGAAGAUAAUGACGGUACCCGCAGAAUAAGCCCCGGCUAACUUCGUGCCAGCAGCCGCGGUAAUACGAAGGGGGCUAGCGUUGCUCGGAAUCACUGGGCGUAAAGGGCGCGUAGGCGGCCAUUCAAGUCGGGGGUGAAAGCCCAGGGCUCAACCCUGGAAUUGCCUUCGAUACUGUUUGGCUAGAGACCGGAAGAGGUUAGUGGAACUGCGAGUGUAGAGGUGAAAUUCGUAGAUAUUCGCAAGAACACCAGUGGCGAAGGCGGCUAACUGGUCCGGUUCUGACGCUGAGGCGCGAAAGCGUGGGGAGCAAACAGGAUUAGAUACCCUGGUAGUCCACGCCGUAAACGAUGGAUGCUAGCCGUUGGCGAGCUUGCUCGUCAGUGGCGCAGCUAACGCUUUAAGCAUCCCGCCUGGGGAGUACGGUCGCAAGAUUAA